AGAAUGUUCCAUAUGAACUUAAUAAGAAUGUACAUUCUGCUGCUUUCAGACAGAAUGUUAUCAGUUAAGUCUGUCUGGUCUAGUGUUGUCAUUUAAGACCUUAUUGAUUGCCUGUCUGGCUGAUCUGUCUAUUGGUGUAUUAGCAAAUGCCUAGUCUUGUUAUAGGGAAGUUUAUCGCUUGAAAAAAGUUCAAAAAAAAGUGCCAUUUCCAUCUGAUGUUACAAGUGUUUAAGGGUCUUUUAAGAUGUUUGUACAAGUGUAUUCAAAGAAGCUUUCUGUGCUUCACUGCACUGAGGUCCUGGAAUUGAGCAAUGUUGAACAGAAGGUCAUUCUCAUUUCAGGGAUAACUUUGCCUACUUACUGCAGUUAAAAGAUGAGAUGUUUGCCUGAUGGAUUAAUGCUGCGUCCCAAACAGGGUACUCUCAGGAAGAUUCUGUGCUGGGCACCACUGAAGUUUGAACAUGACCACUGGGCCCUCUGAUUCCUUCUGGGAAGAGAGCUGCUGAAGCCACUAAAGAGCAGUGGACAUCAGAGGACAUACUCCUGGUGCUGACCUUCAGCUGGAGCCUGCUGGUGUGGAAGAGAGGGCAUGCAGGACACCUAGGAAGCCAGCUCUCCAUUCCAGGAGCUCCUGAGGGUGGCCCAGCCCAUCCCUCCCAUGCUGCUUUGUAGCAGAAAUUCUCCUCCUCACUAGAAAUGCCUGAAACCAGAGCAUCUUUUCUGGGGCGAAAGGAGGGCCAAAGCUGUGACUGUGGAGACAACUUGGCCCGUUGGACCUGGUGUGCAGCAAUGCUUCCAAACUGUAGGUGCCUACAGACCAUCAUUCUGAUUUCCAUCAUGCCUGCAGACAGAUGCUUUUUUGUUUUAAAUUAAUGCUUUCAGAAAACAGAUCCUUCCUACACUGUUGCUAGGAAUGUAAUUUGGGGCAGCUGCGAUGGAAAACAGGACAGAGGGUCCUGAAAAGACAAACACUAGAGCUGCCCCAUGAUCCAGCAGUCCCACACGUGGGCAUAGAGCGGGACAAAACUAUCGAUCCAAACUGCACAGGCCCCCCACCCCCACGCCCAGGUCCAGAGCAGCACAAGUCACAACAGCCCAGGUGUGGAAGCAAGCUCGGUGUCUGUCCACAGAUGCAUGGAUCAAGAAGACCUGCUCCUUAGGUCCAAGGGACUGGGGCUCGGCCAUAAAAAGGAAGGAAACAGUGCCAUUGGCAGCAACGUCGAUCGACCUAGAAAUUAGCAUACCAAGUGAAGCACGCCAGCAGAGCAAGACAAAUACCAGAGGCUAUCCUUCCCGGGUGGAAGCACCAAAAAAGACAACUGAACUUAUUUACACAAUAGAAAUAGAUGCACAAACCAUGGUGACCAAACGGGAAAGGGGUGGAGGGCAAUAAACUGGGAGGUUGCCAUGAACUCAUAUGCACCACUAGAGGUACUCAACAAGGGCCUACUGUAUGGCAUGGGGGAUGCUUUUCAGUGUGUUGGAAGAGCCUCUAUGGGAAGGGAAAGGAAUCCCAAAGAGAUUUUGUAUGUGUGUGUGUGACUAUAUAUAUUUACAUGUGUAUGGAUGUGGAUGUGUGUGUGUGUGUAUAAUAGAAUCUCUUGUGCUGUAACCUGAAACUCACCUGACAUUGUAAAUCAACAAGACGUCAAUAAAGAAUUAACAAAUCAA